rnacentral:rRNA from 1 species
GACGAACGCUGGCGGCGUGCCUAAUACAUGCAAGUAGAACGCACGGUUUAUACCGUAGCUUGCUACACCAUAGACUGUGAGUUGCGAACGGGUGAGUAACGCGUAGGUAACCUGCCUGGUAGCGGGGGAUAACUAUUGGAAACGAUAGCUAAUACCGCAUAAUAUUAAUUAUUGCAUGAUAAUUAAUUGAAAGGUGCAAUUGCACCACUACCAGAUGGACCUGCGUUGUAUUAGCUAGUAGGUGAGGUAACGGCUCACCUAGGCGACGAUACAUAGCCGACCUGAGAGGGUGAUCGGCCACACUGGGACUGAGACACGGCCCAGACUCCUACGGGAGGCAGCAGUAGGGAAUCUUCGGCAAUGGACGAAAGUCUGACCGAGCAACGCCGCGUGAGUGAAGAAGGGUUUCGGAUCGUAAAGCUCUGUUGUAAGAGAAGAACGGGUGUGAGAGUGGAAAGUUCACACUGUGACGGUAUCUUACCAGAAAGGGACGGCUAGCUACGUG